rnacentral:rRNA from 1 species
GAUGAACGCUGGCGGCGUGCCUAAUACAUGCAAGUCGAGCGAACGGACGAGAAGCUUGCUUUUCUGAUGUUAGCGGCGGACGGGUGAGUAACACGUGGAUAACCUACCUAUAAGACUGGGAUAACUUCGGGAAACCGGAGCUAAUACCGGAUAAUAUUUUGAACCGCAUGGUUCAAAAGUGAAAGACGGUCUUGCUGUCACUAAUAGAUGGAUCCGCGCUGCAUUAGCUAGUUGGUAAGGUAACGGCUUACCAAGGCAACGAUGCAUAGCCGACCUGAGAGGGUGAUCGGCCACACUGGAACUGAGACACGGUCCAGACUCCUACGGGAGGCAGCAGUAGGGAAUCUUCCGCAAUGGGCGAAAGCCUGACGGAGCAACGCCGCGUGAGUGAUGAAGGUCUUCGGAUCGUAAAACUCUGUUAUUAGGGAAGAACAUAUGUGUAAGUAACUGUGCACAUCUUGACGGUACCUAAUCAGAAAGCCACGGCUAACUACGUG